GAUGAACGCUGGCGGCGUGCCUAAUACAUGCAAGUCGAGCGAAUGGAUUAAGAGCUUGCUCUUAUGAAGUUAGCGGCGGACGGGUGAGUAACACGUGGGUAACCUGCCCAUAAGACUGGGAUAACUCCGGGAAACCGGGGCUAAUACCGGAUAACAUUUUGAACCGCAUGGUUCGAAAUUGAAAGGCGGCUUCGGCUGUCACUUAUGGAUGGACCCGCGUCGCAUUAGCUAGUUGGUGAGGUAACGGCUCACCAAGGCAACGAUGCGUAGCCGACCUGAGCGGAUGGUCGGCAACACUGGGACAGAGACACGGCCCAGAGUCCUACGGGAGGCAGCAGUAGGGAAUCGUCCGCAAUGGACGAAAGUCUGACGGAGCAACGCCGCGUGAGUGAUGAAGGCUUUCGGGUCGUAAAACUCUGUUGUUAGGGAAGAACAAGUGCUAGUUGAAUAAGCUGGCACCUUGACGGUACCUAACCAGAAAGCCACGGCUAACUACGUGCCAGCCGCCGCAGUAA
rnacentral:rRNA from 1 species